rnacentral:tRNA from 1 species
AUCCAAGUAAUUUAAUAAAAAUACUGGUUUUGUAAGCCAGCAAUGAGGGAAAAUCCCUUCCUCGGACA